GACGAACGCUGGCGGCGUGCUUAACACAUGCAAGUCGAACGGAAGGGCCCUGCUUUUGUGGGGUGCUCGAGUGGCGAACGGGUGAGUAACACGUGAGUAACCUGCCCUUGACUUUGGGAUAACUUCAGGAAACUGGGGCUAAUACCGGAUAGGAGCUCCUGCUGCAUGGUGGGGGUUGGAAAGUUUCGGCGGUUGGGGAUGGACUCGCGGUUUAUCAGCUUGUUGGUGGGGUAGUGGCUUACCAAGGCUUUGACGGGUAGCCGGCCUGAGAGGGUGACCGGCCACAUUGGGACUGAGAUACGGCCCAGACUCCUACGGGAGGCAGCAGUGGGGAAUAUUGCACAAUGGGCGGAAGCCUGAUGCAGCAACGCCGCGUGCGGGAUGACGGCCUUCGGGUUGUAAACCGCUUUCGCCUGUGACGAAGCGUGAGUGACGGUAAUGGGUAAAGAAGCACCGGCUAACUACGUG
rnacentral:rRNA from 1 species